rnacentral:rRNA from 1 species
CCUACGGGUGGCUGCAGUAGGGAAUCUUCCGCAAUGGACGAAAGUCUGACGGAGCAACGCCGCGUGAGUGAUGAAGGUUUUCGGAUCGUAAAGCUCUGUUGUUAGGGAAGAACAAGUACCGUUCGAAUAGGGCGGUACCUUGACGGUACCUAACCAGAAAGCCACGGCUAACUACGUGCCAGCAGCCGCGGUAAUACGUAGGUGGCAAGCGUUGUCCGGAAUUAUUGGGCGUAAAGGGCUCGCAGGCGGUUUCUUAAGUCUGAUGUGAAAGCCCCCGGCUCAACCGGGGAGGGUCAUUGGAAACUGGGGAACUUGAGUGCAGAAGAGGAGAGUGGAAUUCCACGUGUAGCGGUGAAAUGCGUAGAGAUGUGGAGGAACACCAGUGGCGAAGGCGACUCUCUGGUCUGUAACUGACGCUGAGGAGCGAAAGCGUGGGGAGCGAACAGGAUUAGAUACCCAAGUAGUC